UACGUAGGCAGCAAGCGUUGUUCGGAAUUACUGGGCGUAAAGAGUGUGUAGGCGGUGCUCUAAGUCUGUUGUGAAAUCUCCCGGCUUAACUGGGAGGGUGCGGCGGAAACUGGAAUGCUAGAGGGUGGGAGAGGAAAGCGGAAUUCCUGGUGUAGCGGUGAAAUGCGUAGAUAUGCGGAGGAACACCGAUGGCGAAGGCAAUCCCCUGGGCCGGCACUGACGCUCAUGCACGAAAGCGUGGGGAGCAAACAGG
rnacentral:rRNA from 1 species